CUUCCAAUCUACAAGAGGAUGUCGUCUGGCUGUAAAUGUGGCUCCAGCUGUAACUGUGGCAGCGGCUGCAGCUGUGAGAUGUAUGUUGAGAAGAGCACAAGCAUUGCCACGGUUGAAGGUGUCGCGCCACUCAUCAUG